rnacentral:rRNA from 1 species
GACGAACGCUGGCGGCGUGCUUAACACAUGCAAGUCGAACGGAAAGGCCCUGCUUUUGUGGGGUGCUCGAGUGGCGAACGGGUGAGUAACACGUGAGUAACCUGCCCUUGACUUUGGGAUAACUUCAGGAAACUGGGGCUAAUACCGGAUAGGAGCUCCGGCUGCAUGGUGGGGGUUGGAAAGUUUCGGCGGUUGGGUAUGGACUCGCGGCUUAUCAGCUUGUUGGUGGGGUAGUGGCUUACCAAGGCUUUGACGGGUAGCCGGACUGAGAGGGUGACCGGCCCGAUUGGGACUGAGAUACGGCCCAGACUCCUACGGAGGGCAGCAGUGGGGACUAUUGCACAAUGGGCGGAAGCCUGAUGCAGCAACGCCGCGUGCGGGAUGACGGCCUUCGGGUUGUAAACCGAUUUCGCCUAUGACGAAGCGUGAGUGACGGUAAUGGGUAAAGAAGCACCGGCUAACUACGUG